rnacentral:misc_RNA from 1 species
UGAUAAGUAUAUAUAUACCUGUGUAAUGAUGCAUAUUACUCACCUGUAUGUUCAUCAGUAGGUGGGUAGUUUGUGAACAAGUGGGAACUCUUUUUUGGAACUCAAUUUUUCCCUUUAACCUUUGUGUCUACCUCUGUCUUUGGUGCAUGUUUAAAAGAUACAUUUUAGCUUCUCAUCACGUCAUCAAGUUUCUAUCAUCUACAGAAACUUGAUUGGGUAACUAAAACAAUUUCAGGGAAUUCAAAGUUUGUCAAUUUUUCACUUUUAUUUUCAGAAGAAUAUCACUAAAAGCUGUUAUGAUUUAUUUUUCAAAGUGCCAAAUGUUCAUGUAAAAGGUCAUUUUUUUCUUGCAUAAUUUAAAUGUGUGCUUACACAUAAUGAAUUGUGAACUUUGACAUUAAACGGGUAUUAAUAUUUGUUUGGAACUGAAUCUUUACUUGAUGGUACAUUUUCAUUUUGUACUAUCAUUUUACGGAGCUUUUCUGCUGUUGUGAAAUUGUAACAUUUUUUUCUUUAAUAGAAGGAUAGCAACAGGCUUGCUUGUGUGUUUUCAACUUUAAUACAUUAGAAUGGCUAGAUGUACAUUUAUGUAGAGUUAUUCUGCUCUUAGAAAUGUAAAAGAUUUUCUUCUUAUAAAAAGCUUGCCAGUAAAUUUGUUUCAAUUUGUAUAGAAGCAAACAUUAUUCUCAUUUUUUAAUUGAUAAGAAAAUUUAAAAACUUUAGCAUAAGUAAGAUGAUAUGUUUGGACUUCAGUGUUUGGUUGUAAAUAAUUCUUACCAGAUUUUUUCUUCUAAUUCUCCAUUUAUCGUUUUCUACCAUUUCACUCAACAUGUUGAUUUUCAGACCACAUUUUUAUAAUAGUAGAAGAUGUAUAUGUUCCUUGGCUUAAUUUUCAGCAUUAAUUUUACUCCACAAAUUCUGUUAUCAAUAAAAGUCACAGUAACAUC